GACGAAGGGGGCUAGCGUUGCUCGGAAUGACUGGGCGUAAAGGGCGCGUAGGCGGCUCAUACAGUCAGAUGUGAAAUUCCUGGGCUUAACCUGGGGGCUGCAUUUGAUACGUGUGGGCUUGAGUGGGGAAGAGGGUCGUGGAAUUCCCAGUGUAGAGGUGAAAUUCGUAGAUAUUGGGAAGAACACCGGUGGCGAAGGCGGCGACCUGGUCCUUGACUGACGCUGAGGCGCGAAAGCGUGGGGAGCAAACAGG
rnacentral:rRNA from 1 species